UGCGGGAUAGAGAAGCGGUCAACUCGCUGGGCUCAUACCCCGGAGAUCGCCGGUUCGAAUCCGGCUCCCGCAAC
rnacentral:tRNA from 1 species